CAGUAGCCGCGGUAAUACGAAGGGUGCAAGCGUUAAUCGGAAUUACUGGGCGUAAAGCGUGCGUAGGCGGUGAGUUAAGUCUGCUGUGAAAUCCCCGGGCUCAACCUGGGAAUGGCAGUGGAUACUGGCUCGCUAGAGUGUGUCAGAGGAUGGUGGAAUUCCCGGUGUAGCGGUGAAAUGCGUAGAGAUCGGGAGGAACAUCAGUGGCGAAGGCGGCCAUCUGGGACAACACUGACGCUGAGGCACGAAAGCGUGGGGAGCAAACAGGAUUAGAUACCCCCGUAGUCCCUGUCUCUUAUAC
rnacentral:rRNA from 1 species